UAAGAGUAGAUAUCUUUCCAAAUUAAGUCAUUUCAUUCAGGGAUAGAAAUGGGAGAAAAUGAAUGGUUGAAUGGAUACUUGGAGGCUAUACUGGAUGUUGGAGCAGGCAGAAGAAGAGCUAUCGAAGAAAGCAGUGAUGGGAGUAACAAAAAGAAGAGCAGUUUUUUAAGAAAAAGGUUUGAUGACAACGUAAAGGAAGAAAAGCAUUUUAGUCCCACCAAAUACUUUGUCGAAGAAGUUAUCAAUAGCUUCGAUGAGGCCGACCUUCACAAGACAUGGCUUAAGGUGGUCGCCACAAGGAAUUCUCGUGAACGCAAUAACAGGCUCGAGAAUAUGUGCUGGCGCAUCUGGCACCUUGCCCGACAAAAAAAACAGAUAGCUUGGGAUGAUGCACAAAAACUAGUAAAGAGGCGACUUGAACGUGAAAAAGCUGCAGAAGAUCUUUCUGAGCUCUCAGAAGGGGAGAGAGAGAAAACCGAUUCCAAUCAAUCUGAUUUUGUUACUGACAUCGCAAGAAUAAACUCUGAUAAUCAAAUUUGGUCCGACGACAAAUCUAGGCAACUCUACAUUGUCUUGAUAAGUCUUCAUGGGUUGGUGCGCGGAGAAAACAUGGAACUUGGACGAGACUCUGACACUGGCGGUCAGGUAAAAUAUGUUGUGGAAUUAGCUCGAGCAUUAGCCAACAUGAAUGGAAUCCACAGAGUAGAUCUUCUUACUCGACAAAUCACAUCCCCAGAGGUUGACUCCAGCUAUAGUGAGCCGAUUGAGAUGCUGUCCUGCCCAACUGAUGGAUUCGGUAGCUGUGGUGCCUAUAUAAUUAGAAUACCUUGCGGACCUCGUGACAAGUAUAUUCCUAAAGAGUCACUCUGGCCUUACUUACCUGAAUUCAUCGAUGGGGCUCUAGGUCACAUCGUCAACAUGGCAAGAGCUUUAGGAGAACAAGUCAAUCCUGGAAAACCAGUAUGGCCUUAUGUCAUUCAUGGUCACUAUGCUGAUGCUGGGGAAGUAGCAGCACGCUUGUCAGGAGUCCUAAAUGUACCAAUGGUGUUAACAGGGCACUCACUAGGUAGGAACAAAUUAGAGCAGUUACUUAAACAAGGAAGGCUCUCUAGGGAGGACAUCAACGCAACCUACAAGAUAAUAAGAAGAAUUGAAGCCGAAGAGUUAGGGUUGGAUUCUGCUGAAAUGGUAGUGACAAGCACAAGGCAAGAGAUUGAAGAGCAAUGGGGUUUGUACGAUGGAUUUGAUAUACAGUUGGAAAGGAAACUUAGAAUUAGGAGACGGAGAGGAGUAACAUGCCUUGGAAGAUACAUGCCAAGGAUGGUGGUUAUACCACCGGGCAUGGAGUUCAGCAGUGUUGCAACACAAGAUUCAUUUGAUGGCGAUGGAGAUCUGAGAUCAUUGAUUGGCACUGACAGAACCCAGAAAAGACCUAUACCGCCAAUUUGGUCUGAGAUCAUGCGAUUUUUUACGAACCCUCACAAGCCCAUGAUACUAGCAUUGUCCCGUCCAGAUCCCAAGAAAAAUAUCACCACAUUGAUCAAGGCAUUUGGGGAAUGUCAACCCCUUCGAGAACUGGCAAAUCUGACAUUGAUACUCGGUAACAGAGGUGACAUAGAAGAGAUGUCCGACAGCAGUUCAGUCGUUCUUAUGACAGCUCUCAAGCUUAUUGAUAAGUAUGACUUGUAUGGUCAGGUGGCAUAUCCAAAGCAUCAUAAACAACCAGAAGUUCCCGAAAUAUAUCGUCUAGCAGCGAAAACUAAGGGAGUUUUCAUCAAUCCAGCUCUGGUGGAACCAUUUGGUCUCACUCUUAUAGAGGCAGCUGCUUAUGGAUUACCAAUUGUCGCGACAAAACAUGGUGGACCUGUGGACAUACUGAAGGCACUCAACAAUGGUGUACUAAUUGACCCAUAUGACCAGAAAGCCACAUCAGAUGCUCUUCUAAAGCUUGUUGCUGACAAGAACCUUUGGCAUGAGUGCCGAAAAAAUGGUCUAAAAUAUAUCCACCGUUUUUCAUGGCCAGAGCACUGCCGUAGCUACCUCUCCUAUGUUGAGCAGUGCAAAAAUCACCACCCUACUAACCAUCUUUCUGUCAUGCCAUUUCCUGAGGAGCCGCUAAGCGAAUCACUCCGUGGUGUCGAAGACCUUUCUUUGAAAUUCUCCAUUGACAUAGAUGUCAAGGUUAGCGAACAUGAUGCGCCUAAUAAACAGGAGCUCACUGAGAUUCUAAUCCAAAAAGCUACUUCUAUUGGAAAAUCCAUCAACAUAUACUGUCCAGGGAGAAGACAAUGGCUGUACGUAGUGGCCGUUGACUGUUAUAACAGAAAUGGAAGUCCUACUAAGGCAUUACCUUUAGUUAUCAAAAAUGUGAUGCAGGCUGCAGGAUCAAAGUCAGGUCAGAUAGGUUUUGCAUUAUUGACUGGUUUAAGUCUGACAGAGACAAAGGAAGCACUGAAAAAUUGCCAGGUAAAAUUGGAAGACUUUGAUGCAUUGGUUUGUAACAGUGGAAGUGAAGUGUACUAUCCAUGGAGGGACUUGAUAAUAGAUGAAGACUAUGAAGCGCACAUUGAAUAUCGGUGGCCUGGUGAGAAUGUUAAAUUGAUAGUAACUAGGCUUGCGAAGAUAGAAGAUGGAGCUGAGAAUGAUGUUAUGCAACAGAUAAAUCAAUGCAGCUCUCAAUGCUUCUCAUAUAGAAUCAAACAGGGAAAGAAGACUCGGAACAUUGAUGACCUGAGACAGAGGUUACGAAUGAGAGGCCUGCGAUGCAACCUUGUCUACACACAUGCUGCAUCGAGAUUGAAUGUGAUACCACUAUUUGCAUCAAGAGAUCAAGCUCUAAGGUAUCUAUCAGUUAGAUGGAGUAUUGAACUUCCCAAAAUUACUGUAUUUGUGGGAGAAAGAGGGGAUACAGACUUCGAAGGCCUGCUCGGAGGUCUUCACAAGACUGUUAUUCUGAGAGAUUCUGUUGAAUAUGGUAGCGAGAUGCUUGCGCAUAGUGAAGACAGCUGCAAAAAGAUCUGCUCGGCUUCUGAAGACAGCCCAAACAUAGUUCUUGCCGAGGGGUUUGAAGCUCAUGAGAUCUCCAAAGUGUUGGGGUAUUUAGAGAUUAUGUGACUUUUUAUUCGGUUCUCGAUCUUCCAGUUUUCUGUGUGGGUUCUCGCAUUUGGAGCUUUGGGUCGACCAAUCGCGUCGACGAUUUCGUUGGGUCCUCUCGCCGUCUCCAGCACGACGGUGGAAGCGGGCAUUUUCUUUCCUCCGUCGGUAUUGUUCUCAGGUUGCUAUGUUCAACGGCUCUUGGUGGUCUUUUAAUUGGGGAGUGCUUUAGUUCAUCGCGGUCUCCAUCUUCUUCGCUGGUGGGUCGAUCUUCACCUUCCUCUCCGUCGCGUGUUCUCUGUCUAGUGUGUGGGCUUCGUCAUUUUUUUGCUUCGCUUAUGUUGGUUUGCCAGUUCUUGUGGGCUGUGGUUUGGGCUGCUGUGUUGUGUGAGAGUUGGGCUUGACUCAUUUUGGCUUUUAUUGUGCGAGUAGUCUACUUUCUUGUAGGCUAAUUGUCUAGUGGAUUGGUUUGUUUGAGGUUGGACAUUGGAUCUUUAGUGUGGGUGUUUUAUUUGCAUUAUAAAGUUAUGUUGAUCGAAACCUUUUGCGUUAAGUUCACGGGUAAGAACUAUUUGACAUGAGGGUUUCAGUUCAAAAUAUUUUUAAAAGGGAAGGAGCUUGGGGAUCAUAUUGACGGACCCUCUAAUGCGCCUAAGGAUAUUAAGGAUUUUAGUGCACGGGAAACAAAGGAUGCUCGUAUUAUUUCUUGGAUUUUGAGAUCUAUGGACACUUACAUGGUAAAUAAUUUGCGUUCCUUCACUAUUGCUAUGGAAAUGUGGGAGUACUUAAAGUGCAUUUAUUAUCAGGACAAUAAUGUAAGGCGAUUUCAGUUGGAACUAGAGAUUGCCAAAUACAGUCCAGGUAAUUUUACUAUUGAACAAUAUUAUUCUAGUUUUCUAGCUUUGUGGAGUGAGUACUCAGGCAUAAUAUAUGCUAAGGCCCUGGCAACGACCUUAUCAGCACUAAGGAGGUUCAGGAGGUUAGUAAGCGUGACCAGUUUCCUAUGAAAUUACGACCCGAAUUUGAAGUGGUUCGAGCAGUCUUAUUAAAUCAUGAUUUGGUUCCUUCGUUGGAUGUGUGUCGGGUGAACUUUUGCGCGAGGAACGACUGGCUACACAAAUUCAUAUUGGUGUUGAUUUCUCCUCACUUGAUGGGUCUACGUUGCAUAUGCUGCUCAAGGACUGGGGAAGAGUAAACUUUAGUGUUUCUACUGCAAAGGUCAUGGUCAUAUUGCUCGUAACUAUCCUCAGAAAAUUUGUAAUUAUUGUAAGCAACUCGGGCAUUUCAUCAGGGACUGUCUUACUAGGCCUCCAAAUUGGAAAUCCAAUGCUUUUCAAGCUACUGUUCAAGGUAUUACUCCAGUCGUUUCCUAAGCUAGUACUAGUCAACCUGUUCUUACCCUAGAGAUGGUCCAGCAAAUGAUUGUUUCCACCUUCUCUGCAUUAGGCUUACAAGGAUCAAGGAUCGGGAAAGGUGUUCGCGAAGGAACCUAAAGUCGGAAGAUUAUUCUAGUUAUAGUUUACUAUUCAUGCUGC